ACUGUUUACAGUCUAUCGCCCAAUGACGAUAGACUGGACAAAGCCUAUAACUUUUUAGAUGAAAAAAUGUAGACUCUUCAACGUGGCAAAUUGAAGAAAGAUAUGGUCAUGAUUCCCAUUCUCUUUCAAACACACACGAUUCUUUUUAUUCACUCCCAUAACUAGAACAUGGAAACCUCUUAAAUUGUCUGGAUUUAAUUUGUUAGUAUUUAUGGUUAUAAUUUUAACAUAAGAUCUGAGAUUAAGAGGCAUAUUAGUUACAAAGUGCAUAAGAAUGAUAUAUUUUAAUGAAAAAGUACCUGUGUUUUUUGUGGGGGGUUUGUUUUUGUGUUAGUAUCUGGUUUUCCCCUGACGCAUUAUAUUUGUAUUAACUUAGAAGAAAAAUUCCUCUCCUUUGCUUUGUAGGUUUUGAGAAAUAAGCAAGAAUCUGCCAUUUGAGUCAUCAUUAUUUUUAGAGUUCCAAUUCAUUGAACAACUUUUAUACCUAAAACACAAAUGCAAAUAUUAUGAAAAUAAUGAAGACGUCUAAUUAACCAGUUUGAGGCUUCAGUAUUUAAGACAGAAUCUAGAUGUUAAUAGUGUUUACAUUUCUCACCAAAGUUGGUCUUGAAAUAUAAAACUGUUUUUAAGAGUCAAGAACAACCUCAAAAAUGUUUACCAUACAUAAGCAUUAGACUUCCAUUCAUGUUGCUUUAACAAAGACACGGAAUACAUACAAGGUCACUUCCUUGCCUUCGCCAGACAUUAACUAGGAAAGAACUAAGUCACAAAGCUGGCAGCUAUGGAAAAAUCUGUCAAUCGGUUUAAAGGUGUUUUUCAGAACCCAUAUGUUGAUGGAUCAGCUGGUGCCACCCAGAUCAACAUACUAGCUCAUCUGUUACUGUGACUUCCUCCCAGGAACUGACUCAGCGCAAGAGGACAGAUUCAAAUUCGUUUGAUUCCAUCUCAUACCCAACUAAUAAGCAUUUCCUAUUCCCUAGAUCCUUAUCUGCCAAGCUAUCUUUAAAAAACCAUAGCCUCUGAAUUUUUCUUGAGACUGAUUUGAGGCAUAUUUUAAUAUAAAGCUGGUAUACUGUUUAUCUGGCUUUACAUCUGUUUAUACUCUUUCUCUGUUGCAAUUUCUCUGUCUUGAUAAAUCGGCUCUAUCUGGGCAGUGGGCAAGAUGGGCAUGAUGGACCCAUUGGGCAUUUACAAAAAAGACUUUGUAAAGGGUUAGAAUAUGUAAUUUGGG
rnacentral:lncRNA from 13 species